rnacentral:lncRNA from 1 species
CAGUUAUCCGUGGACAGUGGAUAGUCGUCCAAUUAACUGCAACAGGUGAACCAAUUGGUAAGGAGGCAAGAAACAUGUAGUCCUUCAUUGGAGUAUUGGCACGUAUAAGGAUCCCAAUCUCAAUCCCUGAUUAGAGAGACGUAGAUGAGGAUGAAAAGCAGAAGUUUUGGGAAUCUGUACAGGUAAUUGACUAGUUGUAUUUAUAUAUGUUUGCUAACUUCAAAUGAGUAGUUUAAUUUUGUAAGUGUGUUACUUACAACAAAUGUCGUGUUUGUGUAGGAAGCAUUUGUUGUGCCUAAAAAGUUUAGGAAGAGUGUAAUUGCAUCUACAGCAACUAAAUGGAGAGAUUUCAAAAGUAGGUUGACGACAAAGUACAUCAUGCGUUACAUAAAUGACCUGGAUCUCCUAGAAUUUCCUCCAGACGAUUACCGA